CCUACUGGAGACAGCAGUGAGGAAUAUUGGUCAAUGGACGAGAGUCUGAACCAGCCACGUAGCGUGAAGGAUGACGGCCCUAUGGGUGGUAAACUUCUUUUAUAGGGGAAUAAAACGUACCACGCGUGGGAUAUUGUAUGUACCAUAUGAAUAAGGAUCGGCUAACUCCGUGCCAGCAGCCGCGGUAAUACGGAGGAGCCGAGCGUUAUCCGGGUUUAUUGGGGUUAACGGGAGCGUAGGGGGUUUGUUAAGUCAGUUGUGAAAGUUUGCGGCUCAACCGUAAAAUUGCAGUUGAAACGGGCAGUCUUGAGUACAGUAGAGGUGGUCGGAAUUCCUUGUGUCGCGG
rnacentral:rRNA from 1 species